UCACACAUCCUGAUGAAGGGGUUUAUCACCUGCAGCUCAGGGAGGAACCACACCCUUUCCUUAAUUAGGACCAGCUAAGGUAUAAAAACCAGACCAGAUGAGUAAGUAGUAGGGAAUGUGUGGGAGAGGCUGCACCUUUAGCAACUCUCUCUGUCCUGGAGAAAUCUGCACCCUAAAACUGCUGUGAAUACUGUGUGUUUCCCCUGCUGUCUCAAAUUCAUCAAAGUGAAUGAGCAAUUCCUUGUUAUUUUAUCCCAUUCUUCUUUGAAAGAUUCUGAAGAUGUGGAGAAGGAUGCUUUUUUAUCUAUCUUCAAUCCCCUGGAUACUAAAUGGUUACUUUGGAACCUCUGAGGAGUAGGACUAAAUUGCAGGAAAGUAUUCACAAUGCACUACUAAUGUGUUCUUCCUGUAGUAGCACAUCAAGUUCCUUAAAACCACUUGAUAUGAAUUCCACAAAUCUUCAUUGCAAGUAUUCUAAGAACAAUAUGUGCAUCUGCAAGUAAAAGCUCAAAUUAACAAAACCACAAACCUUGCAUUUCUCCCAUUUAAAAUAAAAUUGAUAAUUCAUUUUAGUAUAAGCUUUUCUCAAGGGUGCAGAAAACGAAUUAAUGUUUAUGCAUAGAUCCUUUCAUUGAAUGUAUCUGUCAAUGAGCAGUACUCCACUAUACUGUAUAAAAUUGUUCUAUUGCUAGCCGCUCACGUACUAAUAAUAUUGGGAUGUGGUUAGCAAGUCACUAUGUCGACUAUGACUAUGUAGACAGGAGAAAGACAGUGCUAGGAUCUGACAAUGUUGAAAUACUACUUUUAUCUGUGUGGGUAUUAUAACUUUAAACUAUUGACUUGUAGUUAAAUGGUUAAAGGCUACAAGCUUUCUCUUAACAGAGUGCUGUUGUGUAUGACUCAUCAACCACAGCAACAUAAUUUCUGUGUUAUUGUGCAUGACUCAUCAACCACAAUAACAUCACAUUUCUGAGUCACCAGACCUAAAGGUCAGGCUUAUUAGACUGCAGGUGCAUGUUGUAUUUUUGUCUCUAUAUAACGGUUUGCAUAUGCCCAAGCCUCUCACUGUUUUAUUGGAACAUCACAGUGCUGUACGACAGUACUUAGCCCAUGAGAUAUUGAUACCUUAUCAUGUUAACUGCUGUUUAUCUUCUA